rnacentral:rRNA from 1 species
ACUGCUCAGUAACACGUGGAUAACCUGCCCAAGGGUCUGGGAUAACCCCGGGAAACUGGGGAUAAUACCGGAUGGAUCACUAGUGCUGGAAUGCUUGGUGGUCGAAAGGUAACGCCUUUGGAUGGGUCUGCGGCGGAUUAGGUUGACGCCGGUGUAACGUACCGGCGUGCCUGUAAUCCGUACGGGUUGUGGGAGCAAGAGCCCGGAGAUGGAUUCUGAGACACGAAUCCAGGCCCUACGGGGCGCAGCAGGCGCGAAAACUCUACAAUGCAGGCAACUGCGAUAGGGGAACAUCGAGUGGCACCCACCAUGGGUGUCUGUCCAACCGUCUAAAAAACGGUUGUUAGCAAGGGCCGGGUAAGACCGGUGCCAGCCGCCGCGGUAAUACCGGCGGCUCGAGUGGUGGCCGAUAUUAUUGAGUCUAAAGGGUCCGUAGCUGGCUUUGCAAGUCCCCUGGGAAAUCCAGCGGCUUAACCGUUGGGCUUCCAUGGGAUACUACAUUGCUUGGGACUGGGAGAGGUAGGAGGUACUCAGGGGGUAGGGGUGAAAUCCUGUAAUCCUCUGGGGACCACCGGUGGCGAAGGCGUCCUACCAGAACAGGUCCGACAGUGAGGGACGAAAGCUAGGGGCACGAACCGGAUUAGAUACCCGGGUAGUCCUAGCCGUAAACGAUGCUCGCUAGGUGUCACGGCAGUCGUGAAUUGUCGUGGUGCCGUAGGGAAGCCGUGAAGCGAGCCACUUGGGAAGUACGACCGCAAGGUUGAAACUUAAAGGAAUUGGCGGGGGAGCAC